rnacentral:rRNA from 1 species
CCCUUAGAUGUUCUGGGCCGCACGCGUGCUACACUGAGUAAUUCAAUGGGUAAGGGAACGCUAGAGCAUUACCUAAUCUUGAAAUUUGCUCGUGAUGGGGAUCGACGGUUGCAAUUUUCCGUCGUGAACGAGGAAUACCUUGUAGGCGCAUGUCAUCAUCAUGCGCCGAAUACGUCCCUGCCCUUUGUACACACCGCCCGUCGCUCCUACCGAUUGAGUGAUCCGGUGAGGCUCUGGGACCUGGACGGAAAGAGCGUUUCGCUUGUUCUGUUUGGGAAACUUGGUCGAACCUUCUCAUUUAGAGGAAGGAGAAGUCGUAACA